ACAUGAUGGUGUGGGCAUUUUCGUAGGAGGUCCCUAAAGCGCUCCCAAGUCUCAAAAAAUAGUUCCCCAUCCAAUUGUGAGAAACUAGUGAUGGCUCUACUAAGCU